rnacentral:rRNA from 1 species
GAUGAACGCUGGCGGCGUGCCUAAUACAUGCCAGUCGAGCGAACAGACGAGGAGCUUGCUCCUCUGACGUUAGCGGCGGACGGGUGAGUAACACGUGGAUAACCUACCUAUAAGACUGGGAUAACUUCGGGAAACCGGAGCUAUACCGGAUAAUAUAUUGAACCGCAUGGUUCAAUAGUGAAAGACGGUUUUGCUGUCACUUAUAGAUGGAUCCGCGCCGCAUUAGCUAGUUGGUAAGGUAACGGCUUACCAAGGCAACGAUGCGUAGCCGACCUGAGAGGGUGAUCGGCCACACUGGAACUGAGACACGGUCCAGACUCCUACGGGAGGCAGCAGUAGGGAAUCUUCCGCAAUGGGCGAAAGCUUGACGGAGCAACGCCGCGUGAGUGAUGAAGGUCUUCGGAUCGUAAAACUCUGUUAUUAGGGAAGAACAAAUGUGUAAGUAACUAUGCACGUCUUGACGGUACCUAAUCAGAAAGCCACGGCUAACUACGUG